rnacentral:rRNA from 1 species
UACGUAGGGGGCAAGCGUUGUCCGGAUUUAUUGGGCGUAAAGCGUGCGCAGGCGGUUUGCCAAGACAGAUGUGAAAGCCCCGGGCUCAACCUGGGAAUGGCAUUUGUGACUGGCAGGCUAGAGUGUGUCAGAGGGGGGUAGAAUUCCACGUGUAGCAGUGAAAUGCGUAGAGAUGUGGAGGAAUACCGAUGGCGAAGGCAGCCCCCUGGGAUAACACUGACGCUCAUGCACGAAAGCGUGGGGAGCAAACAGG